GUGCCAGCAGCAGCGGUAAUACAGAGACCUCAAGCGUUAUCCGGAUUUACUGGGCGUAAAGCGUCUGUAGGGGGUUUAUUAAGUUCCAAGUAAAAUUUCAAGGCUCAACUUUGAAUUCGCUUGGAAAACUAAUAAACUGGAGUCUAGCAGAGGUGCAUGGAACUUGUGGUGUAGGAGUGAAAUCCGUUGAUAUCACAAGGAACACCAAAGGCGAAGGCAUUGCACUGGGCUAGCACUGACCCUGAGAGACGAAAGCGUGGGGAGCAAAACGGAUUAGAUACCCGUGUAGUCCACGCCCUAAACGAUGAAUGCUAAAUGUUCGGGGAUUCGACCCCCUGGGUGUUACAGCUAACGCGUUAAGCAUUCCGCCUGGGAAGUACGGCCGCAAGGCUAAAACUCAAAGGAAUAGACGGGGAUCCGCACAAGCGGUGGAGCGUCUGGUUUAAUUCGACAGUAAGCGUGGUACCUCACCAGGGUUUGACAUCCCUUGACAGCCUUGGAAACAAGGUUUCCUUCGGGCAAGGUGACAGGUGCUGCAUGGUCGUCGUCAGUUCGUGCCGUGAGGUGUUCCGUUAAGUCGGGAAACGAACGAAACCCCUAUUGCAUGUUACAAUUUCUCAUGCAAGACUGCCCGGAUAUACUGGGAGGAAGGUGGGGAUGACGUCAGAUCUGCAUGGUCCUUAUACCCUGGGCGACACAGGCGCUACAAUGGCAGAGACAAAGGGUUGCAAAACCGCAAGGUGAAGCUAAUCCCAAAAACUUUGUCUAAGUUCGGAUUGAAGGCUGCAAUUCGCCUUCAUGAAGCUGGAAUC
rnacentral:rRNA from 1 species